CCUUGCUUCAUUAUAGUCAGAUAUUUGUGCAUUCAACUGUGAAAUCUUAUCCUCCCAUUCCCUCCGCUGAUCAUCAAGAAGUGUGAGUUCCUCCCCCAUUGGUCUUAGUAGAUUCAUUUUUGAUUCUUUGUGAAGACAGAAAUUGAGUAUUGCACUUAGAAAAAUUUCAGUCCGGUCUCCUUGUGGCCUCAAAAGAUCUUUGAGGGUAAAUUUUAUUGGGCAAUCCACCAAGCCCAACAUCUCUCUUAUCCUAAUAUACAUAUUCAUGGUCCUAACAGAGUCCGCGUGAUGGUCUGGGUUCUCAAGCUGCUCCAAAGCAGCGAACUCCACCUGCCCUUGAUCUUCUUCGUGAAGAAGAUCAAGGUGGAUCAGAAGUCGGGUAUAGAGAUCAGACAAGAAAUCUGGGUUUGGGUUCUUUAUAUCGUUCUCUACAACUGCGGCGAUCUGUGACUCUGCCAAUACCGUCACUAUUUCGGCGCGGGACAGUCUUGGGUAGUCGAACUUUGACAUUGAGAGAGGGAGAGAGGGGGGGUAAAUGGAGAUGGGUUUUCAAAUAAUUAAAGGAAAAUAUGAAUUUUG
rnacentral:misc_RNA from 1 species